ACCUGGCUGGCUCAGUCAGUAGAGCAUGUGACUCUGGAUCUUGGAGUUGUGAGUUCCAGCCCUACGUUGGGUG
rnacentral:tRNA from 1 species